UUCAAUUCUACUGCCUUUUUGCAUGCAUUGCUUUCCGCCUUUUUCUUACCACGCGAAAUGUGCACACAGCUGAAAAGCUACCUCAACGGAAAACAGAGAGUCAAGUGCUGCAACAGCUCGCAGGUCAGUGCGUCGUCUCAUUUCGCAGAGAGUGGAGCGGUUUUUGUCGUCGCCCCAACAUAAUUUAUUUUUUUUCCUUAUACAGAAUAUUUAAUAAAUUUCAAAGAUUAAAUGUUGUUAAAGAUAAAAUGCACAAAAACCAAUGAAAUUAACCGGCAACUAACUGAUAAUGCCUACGGUUUAUAUAUGUACAUAUGUAUAUAGACGACGGUUCGAUAAGAACGCGAGUGUCUAACCUGUUCGCAUAAUUAUUUUUGCAGUAAAAUAUUUUCAAACGUCAAAAUAACAACAACAAUAAUAACAGAAAAUUACAAAAAAAUUGUUUCAAGUGCGGUAAUUAGAAAUGCAUAACAUCAUUUUUAAACAAAUCAAAAUGCAAUAAAAAGUGUAUUAAAUAAUAAUAGCAAAAUAUCAAAAGUGAAAAAAAAGCUACUGAAAAAAUUAUUUUAAGUGCUAAUAAGAAAGAAGUGCCGCGCACUUGACAGCCAACAAGAAUCCGCUACAUACUUAAGCUUGUCUGGAGAGUUAAAAACUUCAAAUAUACACAAGAAAAAAAAAACAAAAACAAAAGCAACAAUAUAAGUGAGAACAACAAAAACAAUAACAACAUCAGUUAAAGCAUUAAUAGCACUAACAACUAAUAGCAACAACAAGAA